AGAAGCCCUUCAGGAUCUGUCUCUCUGAUUGUUUGUGUAGACGGGGACGUGCGCGUGCGCGUCAUUCAUGCUCUUUCGCUUUCGAAACCAUCAAGGCGCGUCAAGGAGGAGUAACCCCAGAGUGCAGUCUGGACGAUGGGGCGGGGUGACACUUCGACACGUGUCGCCCCGCCCAUAUUUUUUUUCCCCGCCUUUGACAUUUUCCUCCGAGCCAGCAGGGGGCAGUUUGCGUUGAAACAAACAGAACGGUGGCAACUACAGCAGCAGAGUAAUAACGCUAUUCCGUUGAUUGCUUGAGGUGAGUAAAAGUGGUUGUGUAAAUAUCUUAUAAUAUUAAAUGCGAUGUUCGAUCAUUUAUUUAUCCAUGGCACGUUCAAUUUGAAUAAUUAUUGUUAAUAAUUGUUAUAAAUUGCUCAUUUUAUUGUUCUUUGUGGAUUGUAACAGUACACUCUGUACAUGGCUUUAGUUCAUAGGUUCGAUUUUACAGAGGUAUGGCAUCACAUUUGUCAAGUUAUUUGAACAGACAUGCAUGAUUUUUGUGUGUAUAUUAUUAUUAUUAUUAUUAUUAUUAUUAUUAUUCAGGAUGACAUGAUCAGGAGGUGGUGGUGUUCUGUUCUCCUGGACAGCUUUACUCCGCAAAUGUAUGUAGCUGUUUGAAUGUUGCUACAUGAAACAUUACUCUGUACUAUAUCUAGCAAUAUACCUACCUCUUGACAUUUGUUCUUUUAGAGCUCAACCACUGAGGGGAGGAACUUCACCAUUCACCAUGUCUUCAGGCAGAGUCCAGCAAAGCAGCUUCCACUGGAAAUCCUCAGGGAAGUUAUUUUGUCGUUGUGGCCAACUGGAAGAAUUGUCCUCCUGUCUCCUGACCGGAACGAGUUCAGACGGAUGUACAGCAUCAGGGAAUGCUUGCAGUGCAGAGCCCUUUUCAAGUUUAACUCCCCAGGGUACAGAGAAGAGACCGGCGCAGUGAUCUUCUGGGCUUUUGUUUACACAGGAUUUUGUUCCAAGGACUGAAACACAUUUGUGUGUUAAGUUCAUUGAAGGGAAAUAGAGAAUGGGCUGAGAUCAACUGGUUUUGAUUUAUUAAUUGAUGUAAUUUAAAGUUAAACUUUGCACUGU
rnacentral:lncRNA from 1 species